rnacentral:rRNA from 1 species
CCUACGGGGGGCAGCAGUGAGGAAUAUUGGUCAAUGGACGAGAGUCUGAACCAGCCAAGUCGCGUGAAGGAUGACUGCCCUAUGGGUUGUAAACCUCUUUUAUAAAGGAAUAAAACGGGGCACGUGUGCCUUUUUGCAUGUACUUUAUGAAUAAGGAUCGGCUAACGCCGUGCCAGCAGCCGCGGUAAUACGGAGGAUCCGGGCGUUAUCCGGAUGUAUUGGGUUUAAAGGGAGCGUAGAUGGGUUGUUAAGUCAGUUGUGAAAGUUUGCGGCUCAACCGUAAAAUUGCAAUUGAUACUGGCAGUCUUGAGUACAGUUGAGGUAGGCGGAAUUCGUGGUGUAGCGGUGAAAUGCUUAGAUAUCACGAAGAACCCCGAUUGCGAAGGCAGCUUACUAAACUGUGACUGACAUUGAUGCUCGAAAGUGUGGGUAUCAAACAGGAUUAGAUACCCCUGUAGUC